GUCAGGAUGGCCGAGUGGUCUAAGGCUCCAGACUCGAGGACUGGUGUCUUUCCAGCUCGCCUGGGUGUUCUGGUCCCCAAAUGGAGGAGUGGGUUCAAAUCCCACUCCCGAUA
rnacentral:tRNA from 1 species